ACUUAGUGUAACAGUAUGGAUGUUUAUGAUAUAACCAUACUAGAUCACAAAUGUUCCAUGAGAUAACAAUCUUUUAUGCAUGUUUCACCACAGUUUUGGAUAGCAAAUUUGCAUUACGCAAUUAAUCUUUAGGACAGUAAAUAUUUCUCCUACCAUGAUACAAUGGUCGAAGAAGUUAGCAUGAUAUGUGAUUCAAUCUUAUUCCACAAAUAUCCCCAUC
rnacentral:lncRNA from 1 species